AAACCCUACAAGCCAGAAGAGAGUGGGGGCCAAUAUUCAACAUUCUUUUUUUUUUUUUUUUUUUUUUAAACAACUAUGUAUGUCUGUAAUUAAAAAAAUAAAAAGACAACUUGAAAAUAUCUUCAGGUAACAGAAAACUAUCAAGGGAUAUAGCAUAUUUAAAACAGACAUUUUGACCAAAUUGAGUAAAUUUAACUAGUUUGUUUUUUCUCAUGUUUAAACUUAUUAAUUAAAUUAAUUAUUUUAGUCUUUCUAGUGUCAUGUUUUAAAACCUAAAUCAAUGUACUACGGCCAAAAGUGUCAAUCUCAACAGCCGUGGAGAAUAUAAGUGUCAUUACUGUUAUUAUCAUUAUAUAUUAGAAAAGUCACAGUAUCUCAGCAAAUAGUCAUCAUCAAGUCAUAGUAUUUUAACUUGAGACUCCAUCCACCUGUCCCCCCAAAAAAACCAAACCAAUAAAUACUAACAAAUGUAAAUGUAGAGAUGUUU
rnacentral:lncRNA from 1 species